GCCGCCUGCUUCGUAACCGGAGACCGCGCUCGCGGAUCCGGCUGGGCUCGGCGGCGUCGGCGCUCCUCCGCCGCGCCGCCUCUCUCUCCAUGGAUUUCGUCUGCCCCGGCGAUCCCGCGGUUUGGGAUGGGAGGCGUUUCGGGCCGUGCUUCGCGGAUUUAUAUCCUUGCUUUCGAUUUCGAAAUCUCGAGUUGGUUGCGCAGUUUCGCGGUUUGUGGCGGGUCGCGGUCGCGCGCAUUUUGCGGUUUGUGGUUGCUGCUGCAUUCAAGUUUUUCCUUAAUCCUUGUCUCGUCGUUGCACGGUGCUGGGUUUGGCUGGGAAUGCGAUCGCCGCGGCCGCCGUCGUCUGGCUCUUCAUCGCCAAGAGGAACGCACCGAGAGCUCAGCAUCAGCGGACGAAGCACGUGGAGAUCGACCUACACUUCGUGCGCGACAGA